rnacentral:lncRNA from 1 species
GCAGCAUUAUUCAUACUGAGGCCCUCUGCUAUAGCUGAUAUAUAGGAUUACCAUAUACUUUGUAAGAGCCUGACUCUAUAGCACUCAUACCAUCUUAAUUUCGAGAUUAAAAAUAGAAUGUGGCCUAUUCAAUUCUUGUGGCAAUGGCACCAUUAGCCCCCAGCAUUGUUCACAUCUCCUCCUAAACUCAUUUGCCCCC